GCAUGUCUAAGUACACGCCCUAGCAAGGCGAAACCGCGAAUGGCUCAUUAAAUCAGUUAUGGUUCCUUAGAUGGUACUUUUUACUUGGAUAACUGUGGUAAUUCUAGAGCUAAUACAUGCAACUGGGCUCCGAAGUCCUUUGGACGGAGGAGUGCUUUUAUUAGACCAAGACCAAUCGGCUCCGGCCGUCAGUCGUGGUGACUCUGGAUAACUAUAGCGGAUCGCACGGUCUUAAGCACCGGCGACGCAUCUUUCAAGUGUCUGCCUUAUCAACUUUCGAUGGUAGGUUAUAUGCCUACCAUGGUUGUUACGGGUAACGGGGAAUCAGGGUUCGAUUCCGGAGAGGGAGCCUGAGAAACGGCUACCACAUCCAAGGAAGGCAGCAGGCGCGCAAAUUACCCAAUCCCGGCACGGGGAGGUAGUGACGAAAAAUAACAAUACGGGACUCUAUCGAGUUCCCGUAAUUGGAAUGAGUACACUCUAAACCUUUUAACAAGGAUCAAUUGGAGGGCAAGUCUGGUGCCAGCAGCCGCGGUAAUUCCAGCUCCAAUAGCGUAUAUUAAAGUUGUUGCGGUUAAAAAGCUCGUAGUUGGAUCUCAGUCGCGCCCCUUCGAUCCGCCUCAGGCGGUAUUCGUUGGGGCCGGCAUACGGCUGGUCGCCCCGGCUGGCCUUUAACGGCUGGUCGGGUUGUCCGGCAAUUUUACUUUGAAAAAAUUAGAGUGCUCAAAGCAGGCUCGCUGCCUGAAUAAUGGUGCAUGGAAUAAUGGAAUAGGACCUCGGUUCUAUUUUGUUGGUUUUCGGAACACGAGGUAAUGAUUAAGAGGGACAGACGGGGGCAUUUGUAUUGCGACGCUAGAGGUGAAAUUCUUGGACCGUCGCAAGACAAACUACUGCGAAAGCAUUUGCCAAGAAUGUUUUCAUUAAUCAAGAACGAAAGUUAGAGGUUCGAAGGCGAUCAGAUACCGCCCUAGUUCUAACCAUAAACGAUGCCAACUAGCAAUCCGCCUGAGUUCCUCAUACGACUCGGCGGGCAGCUUCCGGGAAACCAAAGUUUAUGGGUUCCGGGGGAAGUAUGGUUGCAAAGCUGAAACUUAAAGGAAUUGACGGAAGGGCACCACCAGGAGUGGAGCCUGCGGCUUAAUUUGACUCAACACGGGGAAACUUACCCGGCCCGGACACCGGAAGGAUUGACAGAUUAAGAGCUCUUUCUUGAUUCGGUGGGUGGUGGUGCAUGGCCGUUCUUAGUUGGUGGAGUGAUUUGUCUGGUUAAUUCCGAUAACGAACGAGACUCUGGCCUAUUAAAUAGACGUUCGAUUACAUUUUUGUCGAACGCUCUUCUUAGAGGGACAGGCGGCUUUUAGCCGCACGAGAUAGAGCAAUAACAGGUCUGUGAUGCCCUUAGAUGUCCGGGGCCGCACGCGCGCUACAAUGAAGGAUUCAGCAUGUGUUUUCCCUAAUCCGAAAGGACGGGGUAAUCAUCUGAAACUCCUUCGUGCUUGGGAUAGGGGUUUGUAAUUUUUCCCCUUGAACGAGGAAUUCCCAGUAAGCGCGAGUCAUCAACUCGCGUUGAUUACGUCCCUGCCCUUUGUACACACCGCCCGUCGCUACUACCGAUUGAGAGAUUCAGCAAGGACUUUGGACUGCGACGCCAGGUGGUUUUACGACCGCACGGCGCUCGCGGGAAGAUGUCCAAACUCGAUUUCUUAGAGGAAGUAAAAGUCGUAACAAGGUUGCC
rnacentral:rRNA from 1 species